rnacentral:piRNA from 1 species
UGUGAAGAUUAUUGAUUGGUAUCCAGCCGC